rnacentral:misc_RNA from 1 species
UCUCGGCUUAUCACCGGCAGUCCCCCUAGAGUGCCCAACCGAAUGCUGGCAACUAGGGGCGAGGGUUGCGCUCGUUGCGGGACUUAACCCAACAUCUCACGACACGAGCUGACGACAGCCAUGCAGCACCUGUGUCCAGGUUCCCUUUCGGGCACCGCUGCAUUUCUGCAGCGUUCCUGGCAUGUCAAGGGUAGGUAAGGUUUUUCACGUUGCAUCGAAUUAAACCACAUCAUCCACCGCUUGUGCGGGCCCCCGUCAAUUCGUUUGAGUUUUAGCCUUGCGGCCGUACUCCCCAGGCGGAGUGCUUAAUGCGUUAGCUUCGGCACGGAGGGAGUCGACACCCCCCACACCUAGCACUCAUCGUUUACGGCGUGGACUAC